rnacentral:rRNA from 1 species
AGCGAACGCUGGCGGCAGGCUUAACACAUGCAAGUCGAGCGGGCGUAGCAAUACGUCAGCGGCAGACGGGUGAGUAACGCGUGGGAACGUACCUUUUGGUUCGGAACAACACAGGGAAACUUGUGCUAAUACCGGAUAAGCCCUUACGGGGAAAGAUUCAUCGCCGAAAGAUCGGCGCGCGUCUGUUUAGCUAGUUGGUGAGGUAACGGCUCACCAAGGCGACGAUCAGUAGCUGGUCUGAGAGGAUGAUCAGCCACAUUGGGACUGAGACACGGCCCAAACUCCUACGGAAGGCAGCAGUGGGGAAUAUUGGACGAUGGGGGCAACCCUGAUCCAGCCAUGCCGCGUGAGUGAUGAAGGCCGUAGGGUUGUAAAGCUCUUUUGUGCGGGAAGAUAAUGACGGUACCGCAAGAAUAAGCCCCGGCUAACUUCGUG